GGUUUCCGAUUCUGGCUCAGAUUGAACGCUGGCGGACGGCUUACGGCCAGAUGCAAGUCGAACGGCAGCAAUGGACUUCGGUCUGUACGAGUAGCGAACGGGUGAGGAAGGUAUCGGAACGUGCCUAGUAGCGGGGAUAACUACGCGAAAGGUGAAGCAUUACCGCAUACGAUUCUUCGGGGGAAAAGCGGGGACCUUCGGGUCGCACCAUUAGAGCGGCCGAUAUCGAUUAGCUACAGGGUAUCUUGCUUCGUACCAUGCUAAUGAUCCGGUAGCUGGCUUCGAGGACGACCAGCCACACUGACUGGAGACAGCCUGACCUUUAGCGGAGUGGCAGCAGGGGAAUUUUGGGAUGUCGGGGGAAACUGAUACAGCCAUCCCGGCGUGUGUGCGAGUAAGGUUUCGGGUUGUAAAGCACUUUUGGCAGGAAAGAAACGGCACUGGAUAAUACCCUGCAACUGACGGUACUCAAGAACAAGUUACCUACAAUCACGCCAGCAAGUCGCAUGCGUAGUGCAAGCGUUUAAUCGGAAUUACUGGGCGUAAAGUGCAGGCGGUUCGAAAAGAAAGAGUGGAAAUCCGCAGAGCUAACUUUGGAACUGCAUUUUUAACUACCGAGCUAGAGUGUCAGAGGGAGGUGGAAUUCCGCGUAGCAGUGAAAUGCGUAGAUAUGCGGAGGAACACCGAUGUAUGGGCGCAGCCCCUGGGAUAACACUGACGCUCAUGCACGAAAGCGUGGGGAGCAAACAGGAUUAGAUACCUAAUCAUUCCCAAACGAUGUCAACUAGCUUUCGUUGGGGCCUUCGGUCUUGGUAGCGCAGCUAACGCGCAAGCUGAACGCCUGGGACAGCUGGUCAAAGAUUAAAACCAAAGGAAUUGACGGGGACCCGCACAAGCGGUAUGAUGGGAUUAAUUCGAUGCAACGCGAAAAACCUUACCUACCCUUGACAUGUUCAACCCCGAAGAGAUUUGGGAGUGCUCGCAGAAACGGAACACAGGUGCUGCAUGGCUGUCGUCAGUCGUGUCGUGAGAUGUUGGGUUAAGUCCCGCAACGAGCGCAACUCCUUGUCAAUAGUUACGCUAUGCGGGCACUCUAAUGAGACUGCCGGUGACAAACCGGAGGAAGGUGGGGAUGACGUCAAGUCCUCAUGGCCCUUAUGGGUAGGGUUUAUCGUCAUACAAUACUGGGACAGAGGGUCGCCAACCUGCGAGGGAGCCAAUCCCAGAAACCCGAUCGUAGUCCGGAUCGCAGUCUGCAACUCGACUGCGUGAAGUCGGAAUCGCCAGUAAUCGUGAUCAGCAUGUCGCGGUGAAUACGUUCCGGGUCUUGUACACACCGCCUGUCACACCAUGGGAGUGGGUUUUACCAGAAGUAGUUAGCCUAACCGUAAGGAGGGCGAUUACCACGGUAGGAUUCAUGACUGGGGUGAAGUCGUAACAAGGUAACUGAGCGAUGCCCGAUGCUCCUGG
rnacentral:rRNA from 1 species